GAAAGGUAGAGGAAUCUGUGGAAGAAGAUGAUCAGGUGGUAAAUCCAUGGCAAGUUUCGACUAAAGAUGGAGGUAAAAUUGACUACGACAAGCUAAUUGACAAAUUCGGAUGCCAGAGGCUCCAGCAGUCUCUCGUCGAGCGAGUCCAGCGGCUAACUUCUCGUCCUCCCCAUGUCUUUCUCCGCCGUGGUGUCUUUUUUGCCCAUCGGGAUUUUGAAGAAAUUUUGAAUGCGUACGAGAGAGGAG
rnacentral:misc_RNA from 1 species